rnacentral:misc_RNA from 1 species
GUAACAAGGUCUCCGUUGGUGAACCAGCGGAGGGAUCAUUACCGAGUUAUACAACUCCCAAACCCACUGUGAACCUUACCUCAGUUGCCUCGGCGGGAACGCCCCGGCCGCCUGCCCCCGCGCCGGCGCCGGACCCAGGCGCCCGCCGCAGGGACCCCAAACUCUCUUGCAUUACGCCCAGCGGGCGGAAUUUCUUCUCUGAGUUGCACAAGCAAAAACAAAUGAAUCAAAACUUUCAACAACGGAUCUCUUGGUUCUGGCAUCGAUGAAGAACGCAGCGAAAUGCGAUAAGUAAUGUGAAUUGCAGAAUUCAGUGAAUCAUCGAAUCUUUGAACGCACAUUGCGCCCGCCAGCAUUCUGGCGGGCAUGCCUGUUCGAGCGUCAUUUCAACCCUCGAGCCCCCCCCGGGGGCCUCGGUGUUGGGGGACGGCACACCAGCCGCCCCCGAAAUGCAGUGGCGACCCCGCCGCAGCCUCCCCUGCGUAGUAGCACACACCUCGCACCGGAGCGCGGAGGCGGUCACGCCGUAAAACGCCCAACU